GAUGAAGAACGCCAGCGAAAUGCGAUAAGUAAUGUGAAUUGCAGAAUUCCGUGAAUCAUCGAAUCUUUGAACGCACAUUGCGCCCUCUGGUAUUCCGGGGGGCAUGCCUGUCCGAGCGUCAUUUGCAACCCUCAAGCCCGGCUUGUGUGAUGGGUGCCGUCCCCUACGGGACGCGCCCCGAAGGCAAUGGCGGCGUCGCGGUUAUCCGAUCAGCCAAAGUGUAUGGGGCUUUGUCACUCACUUUACGGCCCGGACCGGCGCCAGUCCGAAUCAAUCUUUUUUCUAAAGUUGACCUCGGAUCAGGUAGGGAUACCCGCUGAACUUAAGCAUAUCAAUAAGCGGAGGA
rnacentral:misc_RNA from 1 species